UCCCUGGUGGCUCAGAUGGUAAAGAAUCCGCCUGCAAUGCGGGAGACCUGGGUUCAAUCCCUGGGUUGGGAA
rfam:TPA: Bos taurus chromosome 12, whole genome shotgun sequence.